UACGUAGGGUGCGAGCGUUGUCCGGAAUUAUUGGGCGUAAAGGGCUCGUAGGCGGUUUGUCACGUCGGCUGUGAAAAUCCGAGGCUCAACCUCGGGCCUGCAGUCGAUACGGGCAGACUAGAGUUCGGUAGGGGAGACUGGAAUUCCUGGUGUAGCGGUGAAAUGCGCAGAUAUCAGGAGGAACACCGGUGGCGAAGGCGGCGACCUGGGUCGACACUGACGCUGAGGCGCGAAAGCGUGGGGAGCAAACAGG
rnacentral:rRNA from 1 species